GAAUGGGGCACCUGAUCCAUUCAUGCCGCGUGAGUGAAGAAGGCCUUCGGGUUGUAAAGCUCUUUUGUCAGGGAAGAAACACCGGCUCUAACACAGUCCGGGAAUGACGGUACCUGAAGAAUAAGCACCGGCUAACUACGUGCCAGCAGCCGCGGUAAUACGUAGGGUGCGAGCGUUAAUCGGAAUUACUGGGCGUAAAGCGUGCGCAGGCGGUUAUACAAGACAGGCGUGAAACCCCGGGCUUAACCUGGGAAUGGCGCCUGUGACUGUAUAGCUAGAGUGUGUCAGAGGGGGGUAGAAUUCCACGUGUAGCAGUGAAAUGCGUAGAUAUGUGGAGGAAUACCAAUGGCGAAGGCAGCCCCCUGGGAUAACACUGACGCUCAUGCACGAAAGCGUGGGGAGCAAACAGGAUUAGAUACCCUGGUAGUCCACGCCCUAAACGAUGCUGACUAGUUGUUCGGGAUUUACAUCCUGAGUAACGUAGCUAACGCGUGAAGUCAGCCGCCUGGGGAGUACGGUCGCAAGAUUAAAACUCAAAGGAAUCGACGGGGACCCGCACAAGCGGUGGAUGAUGUGGAUUAAUUCGAUGCAACGCGAAAAAACUUACCUACCCUUGACAUGUCACUAACGAAGUAGAGAUUCCUUAGGUGCUCGUAAGA
rnacentral:rRNA from 1 species